rnacentral:rRNA from 1 species
CAGCGCCUCAAGUGGUCAGGAUGAUUAUUGGGCCUAAAGCAUCCGUAGCCGGCGCUGUAAGUUUUCGGUUAAAUCUGUACGCUCAACGUACAGGCUGCCGGGAAUACUGCAGCGCUAGGGAGUGGGAGAGGUAGACGGUACUCGGUAGGAAGGGGUAAAAUCCUUUGAUCUAUUGAUGACCACCUGUGGCGAAGGCGGUCUACCAGAACACGUCCGACGGUGAGGGAUGAAAGCUGGGGGAGCAAACCGGAUUAGAGACCCGCGUAGUCC